ACCAACUUCACCUGUCAAGACCACCACAAGCAUCAAAACCUACACCAAGGAGGAUGUUUCACCCACUAAAACAACAUCAUAUUCUGUUCGGUCCACAAAGAGCACUGAGGAUCAACUGUUUGAUACUCUCAUACCUACAUCUAUCAAGUCACCCAACACGAAAUAUGACAGCAGUGACUACAAGACUGAGGUGGUUACUGUGAAGUCUUCAAAGGACAUCAUUAAUGUGUGA